UGGGCCUCACUCCAGCCGCGGGGGAAUCAGCCCCUUUUUACAGAGGAGGAAACUGAGGCAGGCAGGUUAGCCAGACAGCUAGUAAGGGGCCUGUCUGAUGCGGGACUCAAACACAUCUUCCUCACCGAAGCACAAGGUUCUGACCGCAGCUUGAAACGGGGGAGUUGCAAGGAGCUGGGGGGUCAGAGGGGCAAAAGGAGGUCAAACCAGGUCAUGCUCCCAGCGCUCCGAGUCCUGAAGUCUUUGGCAGUCUUCCAGUGUAUAUACAGUGUUGCCCAGGUUCUGCCAACGAUCCCAUGGAGGAGUACCUUGGCCAUUCUUCACUCUAGCCAGGGGCAGUGUGGCAUAACGGCAUUGGAUUUGGAAUUGAUGCACCUCAAGACACCAGCUCUCCUCCUCUCUACCAGUUCUACCUUGGUAAUUUCAAUAAUAAUAAUAAUGAUGAUGAUGAUGAUGAUAUCCAG
rnacentral:lncRNA from 1 species